rnacentral:rRNA from 1 species
UGUCGAUGAAGAGCGCAGCCAACUGUGUGAAUUAAUGUGAAUUGCAUAAAGCUUCGAACAUCGACAUCUUGAACGCAUAUUGCGGCCACGGGUUAGCCUGUGGCCACGCCUGUCCGAGGGUCG